ACAAAAAUAAAAUAGAAAAUAAAUAAAUAAAACAAAAAUCACCCCAGAAUCCAUCUUUUUCCACACUGAUACAAUUUAUUACAAAACCUCCAUGAAAAUUAGUGUUAUGGUAUAUAAAAGGUUCAUUACAUGCCACCACUCAGCUGGGAGCUAAGAACGCCGUGAUAGGAAUACCUGCAAGCAAUACUGAGACCUGAAGACAACUCUCCAGAGGCAUCCACAGAAGUUUCUGGCAUGCAUAGUGUUCAUGGUAUUUUAAGGCACAGCGAUUUAGAAUUGUCAGUGGUUUGGAUAUUUUAUCAUACAUCACACAAAUACAAAUCACCAGAGAUGAAGCUUGAAAAAGAACUGAAGCACAGAAAGUUAUGAAGAACUGAUGUGAUAUAGAAUGGCUUAAAAUAGCAAUAGAAGGUUACAAUACUGUGCAAACACACAUUUACUGCCAACAAGCCACGGAGGCUUUUACUACUAAUCACAGAACAGUUCAGAACAAUCUAGCAGAUACAUAAUUAACUCCUUGCCCCAGCACAAGGCCUGGUCCAAACAGCAUGCUUAUCCAUUUCUGUACCAAAAGGCAUAGGAAGGAGAAUAAAAACACAUUUCUAAGCAUGAAGACAGCAUUACCAAAAGAAUCGAAAAAGAUACAGGAUAACUUGAUUAACAUCGAAUAUAUAAAACAAGCAGUUUUACAACACAAUCUUCAGACUCUGUUUUUGUUUUAAUGCAGGUCUUGAUCUGCAGAAUCCGGCCUUUGCAUGUGAACGUUACCACUUGGUCAAAGAAAAGAGAGCACCCGUCCACUUAGAGAACUGUACGCUGCUGAUGCAUCCAGCUAUUAAGUAUCUUAGUCAUCUCCAGGCUUCAUCCUCAUCUGGGCUUGCAUCUGUGCAAUCAUCUCCUGCAUGCGGCGCAGCUCAGCCUCCUUCUGCUGAAGGAUUCUAUCCUUGUCUACAACUUCCUCUUCAACAGGUUUGCCAGUUCUCUUCAGCCUCUCUGAACGGAAGUUCUCAUAGUGCAAAUCUUGGGUCACCUCCUGCAGGUCCUGCAUGUGAGUUACCAACAUUGUGCGCAAUUUAAGGAAAUCAUUGUGCUCUGGGUUCUCAACUUCAACAACUCCCCAGGGAUACAGGCGGCCUCUGAUUUUCUUCCCUUUCACCUCAAUAAGUUGAUUGGAUCCAAUAACAGCAAAGGGAAUGCUAGCCUUUAAGACUCUGGUUUGUUCUUUAAAUUCCUCAUCUUCAUCAGAAUCUGCAUCAGGAAGCUGGUAAAUCCUAAUGCCAUGUUCAGAAAUCUCAUCUAACACUCUUCUCUUCAGCCUCUCUCUCUCCUUCAGCGUCAGCGUGUCAGCCUUGGCGAUCACAGGGACAAUGUUGACUUUUCCAUGAAGAGCCUUCAUGAAUUCUACAUCUAAUGGUUUCAGCCCGUGCCCAAAGGGAGAGAUGAAGUAAAAACAGCAAUGGACUCUAUUGUCUAUAAUGUGGCGCCUGUUCAGCCCGCUCUCAUCAUGAAGGUAUCUUUCAAACUGGUUGUCAAUGUACUGGAUAAUCGUUUUGAAGCAGUCCUGGCUGUUAAUGGCAUCUCCAUAUCCUGGUGUGUCCACUACCGUUAAGCGCAGUUUCACCCCCCGCUCCUCUAUCUCUACUGUAGAAGCUUCAAUUUGAACCGUUCUCUCUAUUUUCUCUGCAGCUCCAGGAAUAUAACGCUCUGGAUAAAGAUCAGUCAGAAACAGACUGUUAAUUAAAGUAGAUUUUCCCAAGCCAGAUUCACCAACCACCAUCAGUGUGAAUUCAAAGCCCUUCUUCACAGAUUUCCGGUGGACCUGGUUCGGCAGAUUAGCAAAUCCCACAUAGCCUGCUGAGUCAGAAAACUUCACUUUUUCACCCGACUGAGACAUGUUUCGUCACUCCAAGUGUCAGACACUCAGCCUGCGGCUGCCGAAGCCCCGCUGACAGGCCUCGCUCUGCCGCCUCCACCCGCGCGGGCCUCCCG
rnacentral:lncRNA from 1 species